GUUAAAAAGCUCGUAGUUGGAUUUCUGGUGGGAGGGAUCGGUCCUGCAUUCUUUGUAGGAACUUGUAUCCUCUCCGGCCAUCCUUGGGUGGAUCUUGUCUGGCAUUAAGUUGUCAGUCAGGGGAUGCCCAUCGUUUACUGUGAAAAAAUUAGAGUGUUCAAAGCAGGCUUAUGCCAUUGAAUAUAUUAGCAUGGAAUAAUAAGAUAGGGCCCUGGUACUAUUUUGUUGGUUUGCGUACCGAGGUAAUGAUUAAUAGGGACAGUUGGGGGUAUUUGUAUUCAGUAUUCAGUGGUGAAAUACUUAGACCUACGGAAGACAAACUACUGCGAAAGCAUUUACCAAGGAUGUUUUCAUUAAUCAAGAACGAAAGUAUGGGGAUCGAAGAUGAUCAGAUACCGUCGUAGUCUAUACCAUAAACUAUACCGACUCAGGAUGGGAGGGGCGUGUUUUUGCCCUCUUCUGCACUGUAUGAGAAAUCAAAGUCUUUGGGUUCCGGGGGGAGUAUGGUCGCAAGGCUGAAACUUAAAGGAAUUGACGGAGGGGCACCACCAGGAGUGGAGCCUGCGGCUUAAUUUGACUCAACACGGGGAAACUUACCAGGUCCAGACAUAGUAAGGAUUGACAGAUUGAGAGCUCUUUCUUGAUUCUAUGGGUGGUGGUGCAUG
rnacentral:rRNA from 1 species